rnacentral:rRNA from 1 species
GAUGAACGCUGGCGGCGUGCCUAAUACAUGCAAGUCGAGCGAACAGACGAGGAGCUUGCUCCUCUGACGUUAGCGGCGGACGGGUGAGUAACACGUGGAUAACCUACCUAUAAGACUGGGAUAACUUCGGGAAACCGGAGCUAAUACCGGAUAAUAUAUUGAACCGCAUGGUUCAAUAGUGAAAGACGGUUUUGCUGUCCCUUAUAGAUGGAUCCGCGCCGCAUUAGCUAGUUGGUAAGGUAACGGCUUACCAAGGCAACGAUGCGUAGCCGACCUGGGAGGGUGAUCGGCCACACUGGAACUGAGACACGGUCCAGACUCCUACGGGAGGCAGCGGUAGGGAAUCUUCCGCAAUGGGCGAAAGCCUGACGGAGCAACGCCGCUGGGGUGAUGAGGGUCUUCGGAUCGUAAGACUCUUUUAUUGGGGAAGAACAAAUGUGUAAGUAACUAUGCACGUCUUGACGGUACCUAAUCAGAAAGCCACGGCUAACUACGUG